UACGUAGGGUGCAAGCGUUGUUCGGAAUUACUGGGCGUAAAGCGAGUGUAGGCGGUUCGCUAAGUCGGGUGUGAAAGCCCUGGGCUCAACCCAGGAAGUGCACUCGAAACUGGCAGGCUAGAGUACUGGAGAGGUUGGUGGAAUUCUCGGUGUAGAGGUGAAAUUCGUAGAUAUCGAGAGGAACACCGGUGGCGAAGGCGGCCAACUGGACAGAUACUGACGCUGAGACUCGAAAGCGUGGGGAGCAAACAGG
rnacentral:rRNA from 1 species